rnacentral:rRNA from 1 species
AAAGGAAUAGACGGGGGCCCGCACAAGCGGAGGAACAUGUGGUUUAAUUCGAUGAUACGCGAGGAACCUUACCCGGGCUCGAACGGCUGUUGAAUAAGGAUGAAAGUCUUUAGUCGCAAGACAACAGUCGAGGUGCUGCAUGGUUGUCGUCAGCUCGUGCCGUGAGGUGUCGGCUUAAGUGCCAUAACGAGCGCAACCCUUACCGUUAGUUACCAUCAGGUAAAGCUGGGGACUCUAGCGGGACUGCCACCGUAAGGUGCGAGGAAGGUGGGGAUGACGUCAAAUCAGCACGGCCCUUAUGUCCGGGGCGACACACGUGUUACAAUGGGGGGGACAAAAGGCUGCUACUCGGCGACGAGAUGCGAAUCCCCAAACCCUCUCCCGGUUCGGAUCGGAGUCUGCAACCCGACUCCGUGAAGCCGGAUUCGCUAGUAAUCGCGCAUCAGCCAUGGCGCGGUGAAUACGUUCCCGGGCCUUGUACACACCGCCCGU